AUGAUUCCCCCUUGUCAGCUGCUCUGGCUCUUGGUGCUCUGGGCUCAGGGUUCCAGUGGGGCCAUUGUGCUGACCCAGUCUCCAGGCUCCUUGUCCAGAUCUCCAGGAGAGACAGUCACCAUCAGUUGCAAGGCCAGUGAGAGCCUUAGCCAUAAGACAGUUUUUACUACAUAUGAACUCUUAAACUGGUACCAGCAGAAACCUGGCCAAGCCCCCAGGCUCCUCAUCUAUGAUGCUACCAGUCUGGCAUCUGGCAUUCCUGCCCGGUUCAGUGGCAGUGGGUCUGGGAGAGAUUUCACUCUCACCAUCAGCAGCCUGGAGCCUGAGGAUGCUGGAGAUUAUUACUGUCAGCAGUUUGAGAGCUUCCCUUUCCCACAGUGCUUCAGCCCUGAACAAAAACCUCCUCAGGCUGUUCAGGGGAUUCAUCGCAGAGUAGCACCUGCUUCCCCUCUGGUCCCCAGGGCAGAGCAGCCCUUGCUCUCUAGGUAG